AUCUUAAUUGAUUCUUAAUCAAAUCUCAAUAAAAUCCUAAAUCAAUUUCAAUAAAAUUUUAAUAAAAUCUUAAAUCUUGAAUAAAUUCUAAUCAAAUUUUAAAUAAGUCUUAAUCAAAUCCUAAACAAUUUUCAAAUCCUAAUCUUAGUCCAAAUCAUAAUCAAACCAUAUAUUCAAAUCCUAAAUUAAAUUCCAAUAAAAUCCUAAAUCCUAACCUUAGAACAAACUUCAAUAAAAUUCUAAGCAAAUCCUAAAUCU
rnacentral:lncRNA from 1 species